GAUGAACGCUGGCGGCGUGCUUAAUACAUGCAAGUCGAACGGAAAGGCUCCUGCUUGCAGGGGCACUCGAGUGGCGAACGGGUGUGUAACACGUGGGUGAACUGCCCUUCAAUUCGGGAUAAGACUUGGAAACUGGGUCUAGUACCGGAGAGGACCUCAUUAUGCACGGUGUGGUGGAAAGUAUUUCGGUGUGGGAUUCGCUUGCGGAGUAUCAGCUUGUUGAUGGGGUAAUGGCCUAGCUAGCCGUCGACGAGGAGCCGGCCUGAGAGGGUGUACGGCCGGAUUAGAACUGAAAGACGGCCCAGACUCGUACAGGAGGCAGAAGGGGGGAAUGUUGGACAGUGGGCCGAAGCCUGAUGCAGGGACGCCGCGUGGGCGAUGACGGCUUUCAGGUUGUAAACUCAUAUCGCUAGGGACGAAGCGUUUUUGUGACGGUACCUGGAGAAAAAGCACCGGCUAACUACGUG
rnacentral:rRNA from 1 species